GAUCCCCCCUCCUCAUGUCGAAUCUGGCCGCAGAAGUGGCCGAGAAGGCCCUCGAGCUCGGCAUGCUCGCGCCAGCGCGCUCUAGGCUCCAUCGGAGGCGGACGCGGAGGCGCAGGACUCCACGCCUCUCCUCUGCCCUGCUCCUUCUUCGAAUCCAGUCGCCUAAGUGCUCGAGGAGGCGCUCGAGCUUGGCAUGCUCGUCGGCGACACCGGGCCCCUCCCUCCUCCUGUUGCCUCGCCGCCGCCAUGAGCCCCUCCACCCUCUCCUGUGUGAUUGUACAGCUCCAGGCAGUCUGUUGGCACAAUGAAUAAUGUCUGCUCUUCGACUGGAGCAGUUCUUCCCUGUUGGUAAUCAGAGGAUACAUGCUACUAAUUCUUCAACUGAAAUUAAUUUUCAGUUUGAUCCAAGAGCAAAUCAUGAACCUCAAGUUUUCUUAGCACCUAUGCCAAAGAGAAGAAGGUUAGUUUCUUUCAAGAAUGAAAGAACUGGUACCAAAGGAACUGCUGUCAGUAAAAGACAUUAUGGGAAGCAAGCUGACACCCCACCGCAACCUGUGCCUAAAGCAAAUGAAGCAAGUGCAGGGGCCAACCCUUUUCUAUGGAGCACAAUUUCAAGCUCAUCAACCAACAUAACCUUUGGCACUAAUAGCAAUCGCACAUAUUGUGGACAGCUUCACAAUGUGUCCCUCACUGAGAAAUCACCAUGAAUGUUCCCUUUCAAGUCACUUCAUAAGUUGUUCUGUUAUUGGGCUUUGUUAGAUAAGCUGAUUUAACUGAGUAUUAUUCUGCUCUAGAUUGUUGCUUCUGGUUGUGAGUGAAUCUAAGAGUUAACAUGGUACAAUAUCUUCUCGAAGAUGAUGUAUUCCUUCAUAAAAAAGGAUGUUGGAGAAGUUAUUAUUGAAGAGGAGUUCAGUCUCAUGUGAUUCUCAAGAGCUAAAAUGGAACAAGAAGUGCAGGCCUCUCAUGUCUACACUAACUAAUCAGAAAAAACGUGGUAUCAGAAAAGGGCGAAUAGGGGAAGAAUCAACAUAGAUAUUGUCCCGGUUUUAUCCCGUCCUGGAGCUACAAGAAGGCUGGGUGAAGUCUACGAUGGGUUCUUUUCCAAGCAAAGAGAAGGCUGAGGCGACUCUGGUCUACAGCUACAAGAACGCCAUCAGCAGGUUCGGGACGAAGCUCACGCCCGCGCAAGUCGCCGUGUUGAGGAGAUCCAGAAGACUCGGGGAGGUACCCGCAAAGGUGUUUGAUCGAGCAAAAGGAUGGGCUCCUAUGUUGAUGCUUUGUCUUCCCUUGAAUUGCUCUGGGUUCCUACCUAUAAAUCAUGCCUCAGAAUGGAUUCCUUUCAUUUAACUUUUCAUUCCUACAAUGAAAUCAAGGUUGUUGGGGAUAUAACUAUUUAUGUAAGCCGCCCAGGAGGGGCCGGGUUACGCAAAGAGAAGCCCAUCUGAAGCCCAAGACCAAGACGUGAAGAUGGCGGUUCAGUAAAGGGUCUAAAGGCCCACAGGCGAUUUAUGGCCCAUGGCGAUAAACCGCCAUGAGGGCGUGACUUGUAUUGUAAGGUAUAAGUAACUAGUCACCGAGCCGGACACUGUUUAUGAGCCGGCCGGGACUCUGUAAGCCGGAAGGCGUCGACCCGUGUAUAUAAGGGGACGAC